AGGACGAACGCUGGCGGCGUGCUUAACACAUGCAAGUCGAACGGGGCGAAGAGGAGCUUGCUCUUCCUAGCCUAGUGGCAAACGGGUGAGUAACGCGUAGGCAACCUGCCCUUCAGAUGGGGACAACAUUUCGAAAGGAAUGCUAAUACCGAAUGACGUAUCCUGGUCGCAUGACCUAGAUACCAAAGGCCGGGCAACCGGUCACUGAAGGAUGGGCCUGCGUCUGAUUAGCUAGUUGGCGGGGCAACGGCCCACCAAGGCGACGAUCAGUAGCCGGCCUGAGAGGGUGAACGGCCACAUUGGGACUGAGACACGGCCCAAACUCCUACGGGAGGCAGCAGUGGGGAAUAUUGGACAAUGGGGGAAACCCUGAUCCAGCGAACCGCCGCGUGAGUGAAGAAGUAUUUCGGUAUGUAAAGCUCUAUCAGCAGGGAAGAUGAUGACGGUACCUGACUAAGAAGCACCGGCUAAAUACGUGCCAGCCGCCGC
rnacentral:rRNA from 1 species